rnacentral:rRNA from 1 species
AGUGAACGCUGGCGGUAGGCCUAACACAUGCAAGUCGAACGGCAGCACAGUAAGAGCUUGCUCUUACGGGUGGCGAGUGGCGGACGGGUGAGGAAUACAUCGGAAUCUACUUUUUCGUGGGGGAUAACGUAGGGAAACUUACGCUAAUACCGCAUACGACCUACGGGUGAAAGCAGGGGAUCUUCGGACCUUGCGCGAUUGAAUGAGCCGAUGUCGGAUUAGCUAGUUGGCGGGGUAAAGGCCCACCAAGGCGACGAUCCGUAGCUGGUCUGAGAGGAGGAUCAGCCACACGGGAACUGAGACACGGUCCAGACUCCUACGGGAGGCAGCAGUGGGGAAUAUUGGACAAUGGGCGCAAGCCUGAUCCAGCCAUACCGCGUGGGUGAAGAAGGCCUUCGGGUCGUAAAGCCCUUUUGUUGGGAAAGAAAAGCAGCAGGUUAAUACCCCGCUGUUCUGACGGAACCCAAAGAAUAAGCACCGGCUAACUUCGU